rnacentral:rRNA from 1 species
GGGGAAUAUUGGACAAUGGGGGCAACCCUGAUCCAGCCAUGCCGCGUGAGUGAUGAAGGCCUUCGGGUUGUAAAGCUCUUUUGGCGGGGACGAUGAUGACGGUACCCGCAGAAUAAGCCCCGGCUAACUUCGUGCCAGCAGCCGCGGUAAGACGAAGGGGGCAAGCGUUGUUCGGAAUUACUGGGCGUAAAGGGCGCGUAGGCGGUUUGCUUAGUCAGGCGUGAAAGCCCUGGGCUUAACCUGGGAUGUGCGCUUGAUACUGGCAGGCUUGAGUGUGGGAGAGGUUGGUGGAAUUCCCAGUGUAGAGGUGAAAUUCGUAGAUAUUGGGAAGAACACCGGUGGCGAAGGCGGCCAACUGGACCACAACUGACGCUGAGGCGCGAAAGCGUGGGGAGCAAACA